rnacentral:rRNA from 1 species
UACGAAGGGGACUAGCGUUGUUCGGAAUCACUGGGCGUAAAGCGCACGUAGGCGGAUUCGUAAGUCAGGGGUGAAAUCCCGGGGCUCAACCUCGGAACUGCCUUUGAUACUGCGGGUCUUGAGUCCGAUAGAGGUGGGUGGAACUGCGAGUGUAGAGGUGAAAUUCGUAGAUAUUCGCAAGAACACCAGUGGCGAAGGCGGCUCACUGGCCCGGUACUGACGCUGAGGUGCGAAAGCGUGGGGAGCAAACAGG